rnacentral:rRNA from 1 species
GCGGCCGAUUAGGUAGUUGCUGGGGUAACGUCCCAACAAGCCGAUAAUCGGUACGGGUUGUGAGAGCAAGAGCCCGGAGAUGGAUUCUGAGACACGAAUCCAGGUCCUACGGGGCGCAGCAGGCGCGAAAACUUUACACUGCGCGAAAGCGCGAUAAGGGGACCUCGAGUGCGUGCGCAAAGCGUACGCUUUUCAGAUGCCUAAAAAGCAUCUGGAAUAAGGGCCGGGCAAGACCGGUGCCAGCCGCCGCGGUAACACCGGCGGCUCAAGUGGUGGCCGCUAUUAUUGGGCUUAAAGGGUCCGUAGCCGGACCAGUUAGUCCCUUGGGAAAUCUUACGGCUUAACCGUAAGGCUGCCAAUGGAUACUGCUGGUCUUGGGACCGGGAGAGGCAAGAGGUACCUCAGGGGUAGGAGUGAAAUCCUGUAAUCCUUGAGGGACCGCCAGUGGCGAAGGCGUCUUGCUAGAACGGGUCCGACGGUGAGGGACGAAAGCUAGGGGCACGAACCGGAUUAGAUACCCGGGUAGUUCUAGCCGUAAACGAUGCGAGCUAGGUGUCACGUGGAUUGCGAAUCCAUGUGGUGCCGAAGGGAAACCGUGAAGCUCGCCGCCUGGGAAGUACGGCCGCAAGGCUGAAACUUAAAGGAAUUGGCGGGGGAGCAC